UGGGGUUGUUCAACCUGGAGAAGACUCCAGGGACACCUUAUUGUAGCCUUUCAGUACAUAAAAGGAGCCUAUAAGAAAGAUGGGGAGACACUUUUUAGCAGGGCCUGUU